rnacentral:rRNA from 1 species
CAAUAGCGUAUAUUAAAGUUGUUGCAGUUAAAAAGCUCGUAGUUGGAUUUCUGGUGGGAGCGAUCGGUCUGGCGCUUAGCGCGAGUACUUGCAUCGUCUCCGGCCAUCCUUGGGGAGAGUCUGUCUGGCAUUAGGUUGUCGGGCAGAGGAUCCUCAUCGUUUACUGUGAAAAAAUUAGAGUGUUCAAAGCAGGCUUAUGCCGUUAAAUAUAUUAGCAUGGAAUAAUAAGAUAGGACUUUGGUACUAUUUUGUUGGUUUGCGCACCAAAGUAAUGAUUAAUAGGGACAGUUGGGGGUAUUCGUAUUCCGUUGUCAGAGGUGAAAUUCUUGGAUUUACGGAAGACGAACUACUGCGAAAGCAUUUACCAAGGAUGUUUUCAUUAA